GUUGAAACACCGGUUCUCAUAUGAUCACCAGAGUUAAGCAACAUUGAGCCUGCUCAGUACCUAGAUGGGUGACUGCUUUGGAAUGCCAGUUGCUAU